AAAUGACGCAAUGUUGACAUUUUCUAAAAAUCAUAAAUCUAAAAAGGAUCUCUUACUUACAAAAAUAUGUCAAGCAAGGAAGGUAACUUCAGUUACGGAUAACAAAACAAAAAUCAUAGAGAUUGCAAGAGAAAAACAGAAAUGUUUAAUAGAAGAUAAUAUGGAUUCUGAUAAUGCUACAGAAGAAAAUAUUGAUCCUAAUAUUCCACGAGAGGACGAUUUUUCAAUGAAAGUUCAGGAUAUCAAAUAAAGAUGUAUCUCCAAGUACAAGUGCAAGAUCGAUAAAUAUAGAGACACCAGGUACAUCAAAAGAUUACUGUAUUUAUGAAGCAAAUAUAUCUGAUGAAAAAUCAUCAUCUUCAAUAUGCACUUCUCCAUCAGAAUUACGUCAAAAGAGUCCAGUUACUUCACAUGUGACAGCUGUAACUACACCGAGUUCAUCUUGUAGAUCAAGUAGUGUAUUAGAUGUGUCUAAAGCGACCUUUGAUAUGAAAGCUUUUG